rnacentral:rRNA from 1 species
CCUACGGGUGGCAGCAGUGGGGAAUAUUGGACAAUGGGCGAAAGCCUGAUCCAGCCAUGCCGCGUGUGUGAAGAAGGCCUUCGGGUUGUAAAGCACUUUCAGUGGGGAAGAAAGCCUUGGGGCUAAUACCCUCGAGGAAGGACAUCACCCACAGAAGAAGCACCGGCUAACUCCGUGCCAGCAGCCGCGGUAAUACGGAGGGUGCGAGCGUUAAUCGGAAUUACUGGGCGUAAAGCGCGCGUAGGCGGUCUGAUAAGCCGGUUGUGAAAGCCCCGGGCUCAACCUGGGAGCGGCAUCCGGAACUGUCAGGCUAGAGUGCAGGAGAGGAAGGUAGAAUUCCCGGUGUAGCGGUGAAAUGCGUAGAGAUCGGGAGGAAUACCAGUGGCGAAGGCGGCCUUCUGGACUGACACUGACGCUGAGGUGCGAAAGCGUGGGUAGCAAACAGGAUUAGAUACCCGUGUAGUC